AUGGUUCAGUUGUACGCUGCAGAGCAAGGGGAGCCAAUCAUCACCGAAGUGCCGGUGCCUGCUGAAGUGGAGGCCCUGAUCAGCGAGUUUGGACACCUGUUUGAAGAACCUAAGGGACUACCACCACAGCGCUCUUUCGAUCACACAAUUCCUCUCCUGCCCGGGGCGAAACCAGUCAACGUGCGCCCGUAUUGA
rnacentral:rRNA from 1 species